rnacentral:lncRNA from 1 species
GUGCAUGUGGAUGAAUGAACGUUAAUGCAUGAAUGUGAGUUCAGAAAAGCCGUUGGAAUAGGUGCACAUCUUGGCUACACAGUAAAGAAUGUAAGAACAUCAGUGGUAUAAUUAGUAAAGCAAUAAUAUUGUGAAGAACAUCCUUAUUUCACUUACUUUCUUCGUGAAUAGUGCUUUGCUUUCUUUUCUGCUAUGAGAAUUAUCUUAAGACUCUUGCUGAAUUUUCCUUGCUGUGUUGCUGAGUUUUUUUUUUUGUUUUUUUUUUUUUCCUGCAAUGACUAAUAAAAGACAUCCUUGAAGUUCAUGGGAGAGGGGGAAAAAAAGGAAGCAAAAUGAGGCUGUUACUGCCUGGGAAAUCAUUUUGCAAUGGAUAAAAGGUCACGGUAUUUUUUUGUCAGUGGAUUUUCCUGUUGGGAGUAUUUAUCAUCUAUAAAGUGCUGCAUCUGCGACCUUUGUGAGUAUUUUAUCAAUAACAAAGAACUGAAUAAUUCUACCAUUUUUGAAAAACCACUCAUCUAUAUUUAAACAGUACAGAGGAAAAACUCUUUGGGAUGAGAGCUCUGGAAGCAAGUUGCAUGCAGUAAAUGCUGCUGCUUAUUGCCAUUAAUAACUUAACUUGCUGCAUUUGGUCGAAGAGGCAGCAAGGUGCAAAUGAUCUCUUUGUUUUAUUAGCUAAUUAAUUCAGGUUUAUGUAAGCUGUUUUAUGAGUGUUUGUCAGUCAUCAGGACACAGGCUCAGGGAGCACUGCAGAGCCGGGGUGGGACGCAGGACACCUCCUGUGGGCUGUGUGGUGCGGUUCCUGCCUGUGGGAUUGCCUCGUGCCCCAUGUCCUCCCUCUGACUUCAGCAAAGUGCAGUUCAUUCAGAUGAUGCACGUUUGCUAUGUUGUCUUCUCCCCUGGGGCAUCAAGACAAUUUGAAUCUGGAUGGAAAGCCUGAGUGUUUUUGCUCAUACCAUUAAGUAAUGGCAUUGCACACCAGAACUUAAAUUUCAAAAAGAAAAACUUCAGUGAAUCUGAAAGGGUCUGCAUGAGAUACAGAACAUGUUAGGAGCAUCCAGUGGGAUUUGAUUUGAGACAUGUCACUAGCCAAAGCAGGCAAUUGACAGGGUUACUUGACUUUACUUUGGGGGAAAAUAACUUGGUCCUAAUAAGUGUGUUUUGAAAGUCAAAACAUGUUUGUAUAAGGGGAGGACUACUGUGGAAGAAUAAUUAAAAGACUGCUUGUAUUAUUAAUAAUCUGAUUAAACAGCAAUGAAC